UACAGAGGGGGCAAGCGUUAUUCGGAAUUAUUGGGCGUAAAGGGCGCGUAGGCGGCCUGACAAGUGGAAGGUGAAAUCCCUCGGCUUAACCGAGGAACUGCCCUCCAAACUGUUUGGCUUGAGACCGGGAGAGGUGAGUGGAAUUCCCAGUGUAGCGGUGAAAUUCGUAGAUAUUCGGAAGAACACCAGUGGCGAAGGCGACUCACUGGCCCGAUACUGACGCUGAGGCGCGAAAGCGUGGGGAGCAAACAGG
rnacentral:rRNA from 1 species